rnacentral:rRNA from 1 species
UACGUAGGGUGCAAGCGUUAAUCGGAAUUACUGGGCGUAAAGCGUGCGCAGGCGGCUUUGCAAGACAGAUGUGAAAUCCCCGGGCUUAACCUGGGAACUGCAUUUGUGACUGCAUGGCUGGAGUGCGGGAGAGGGGGAUGGAAUUCCGCGUGUAGCAGUGAAAUGCGUAGAUAUGCGGAGGAACACCGAUGGCGAAGGCAAUCCCCUGGGCCUGCACUGACGCUCAUGCACGAAAGCGUGGGGAGCAAACAGG